rnacentral:rRNA from 1 species
UGGGGAAUCUUCCGCAAUGGACGAAAGUCUGACGGAGCAACGCCGCGCGAGUGAUGAAGGAUUUCGGUCUGUAAAGCUCUGUUGUUUAUGACGAACGUGCAGUGUGUGAACAAUGCAUGGCAAUGACGGUAGUAAACGAGGAAGCCACGGCUAACUACGUGCCAGCAGCCGCGGUAAUACGUAGGGGGCGAGCGUUGUCCGGAAUUAUUGGGCGUAAAGAGCAUGUAGGCGGCUUAAUAAGUCGAGCGUGAAAAUGCGGGGCUCAACCCCGUAUGGCGCUGGAAACUGUUAGGCUUGAGUGCAGGAGAGGAAAGGGGAAUUCCCAGUGUAGCGGUGAAAUGCGUAGAUAUUGGGAGGAACACCAGUGGCGAAGGCGCCUUUCUGGACUGUGUCUGACGCUGAGAUGCGAAAGCCAGGGUAGCGAACGGG